rnacentral:rRNA from 1 species
AAUGAACGCUGGCGGCAUGCCUAACACAUGCCAGUCGAACGAAGGCUUCGGCCUUAGUGGCGCACGGGUGAGUAACGCGUGGGAAUCUGCCCUUGGGUUCGGAAUAACAGUUAGAAAUGACUGCUAAUACCGGAUGAUGUCGUAAGACCAAAGAUUUAUCGCCCAAGGAUGAGCCCGCGUAGGAUUAGCUAGUUGGUGGGGUAAAGGCCUACCAAGGCGACGAUCCUUAGCUGGUCUGAGAGGAUGAUCAGCCACACUGGGACUGAGACACGGCCCAGACUCCUACGGGAGGCAGCAGUGGGGAAUAUUGGACAAUGGGCGAAAGCCUGAUCCAGCAAUGCCGCGUGAGUGAUGAAGGCCUUAGGGUUGUAAAGCUCUUUUACCCGGGAUGAUAAUGACAGUACCGGGAGAAUAAGCUCCGGCUAACUUCGUG